ensembl:lncRNA
GAGAGAGAGAGAGAGAGAUUGGAGAGUAGGCAUGAGAUAAAUGGUUGUGCUUGCAGUGAGAGGAUGUAAGAAUGUAAAUGGCGGUUAGUAGGGGACGAGUGAAGUGCACUACAGCUCGGGAGCUGUGAUGAAUGAGGAGCCUUCUGGCUGCUGGGCCGCGAGUGUGUUUCAGCUCUGGCCUACUUCGGCAGGGUUUUUUUUGCUGGGCGUUUCUAUUUAAAGUGUGUGGAGAGUGUGGAGCAUGUGGAGUGUGGAGUGUGUGUGUGGAGCAUGUGUGUGUGGAGCCUGUGUGUGUGGAGCAUGUGGAGUGUGUAGAGAGUGUGGAGUGUGUAGAGAGUGUGGAGUAUGUGGAGAGUGUGGAGAGUGUGGAGUGUGUGGAGAGUGUGGAGUGUGUGGAGAGUGUGGAGUAUGUGGAGAGUGUGGAGAGUGUGGAGUGUGUGGAGAGUGUGGAGUAUGUGGAGAGUGUGGAGAGUGUGGAGUGUGUGGAGAGUGUGGAGCGUGUGGAGAGUGUGGAGUGUGUGGAGAGUGUGGAGUGUGUGGAUUGUGUGGAGUGUGUGGAGUGUGUGGAGAGUGUGGAGUGUGUAGAGAGUGUGGAGUGUGUGGAGAGUGUGGAGUGUGUAGAGAGUGUGGAGAGUGUGGAGUAUGUGGAGUGUGUAGAGAGUGUGGAGUAUGUGGAGAGUGUGGAGCAUGUGGAGUGUGUGGAGUGUGUAGAGUGUGGAGUAUGUGGAGUGUGUGAAGUGUGUGGAGUGUGUGUGUGUGGAGUGUGUGGAGUGUGUGUGUGUGGAGUGUGUGUGUGGAGUGUGUGGAGUGUGUGGAGUGUGUGGAGUGUGUGUGUGUGGAGUGUGUGUGUGUGGAGUGUGUGGAGUGUGUGUGUGUGGAGUGUGUGUGUGUGGAGUGUGUGGAGUGUGUGUGUGUGGAGUGUGUGUGUGUGGAGUGUGUAGAGAGUGUGUGUGUGGAGUGUGUGUGUGUGGAGUGUGUGGAGUGUGUGUGUGUGGAGUGUGUGUGUGUGGAGUGUGUAGAGAGUGUGGAGUAUGUGGAGCAUAUGGAGAGUGUGGAACUUGUGGAGUGUGUGCGUGGAGCAUCUGUGGAGUGUGUGGAGCGUGUGUGUGGAGCGUGAGUGUGGAGUGUGAGUGGAGUGUGAGUGGAGUGUGUGAGGUUUGUUUGGAGGUUGAGGAGUGUGUGGAGCAAGCGUUUGGAGUGUGUGGAGCGAGUAUGUGGAGCAUGUGUGGAGCGUGUGAAGUGUGUGGAGCGAGUGUGUGGAGAGUGUGUGUGGAAUGUGUGGAGUGUGUGUGUGGAGAGUGUGGAGUGUGUGGAGAGUGUGUGUGUGUGUAGAGUGUGUGUGUGUGGAGAGUGUGUGUGUGUGGAGAGUGUGUGUGGAGAGUGUGUGUGUAGAGUGUGUGUGUGUGUGUGUGUGUGUGUGUGUGUGUGUGUGUGUGUGUGUGUGUGUGGUGGGAUUGUUUUCUACACAGCGCCUGCACUUUCGUACUUUUCAUUAAUAGAGCUCAUUCAUCGCACAUCACGAAGAUGGCUUAAUACCCACCACCCCCGUAACAAUCCAUAUAUACACGCCACAAGCCCUCUCUCUCUCUCUCUCUCUCUCUCUCUCUCUCUCUCUCUUUCUCUCUUUCUCUCAUCCUUCUUUCCUUU